AAUCACUAAUCGUCAGAUAUAGAAUCCUCUAAAACUUAUAUAAUGAAACUUGUUUGAAUUUCUGUUUCCAGAUUUCAGAAGCUACAAUCAUGGUCAUUUAAGAAGUAGGAUCCAGUGUAUUACUAUUACCGAUGGGUGGCUGCAUAGAAGUUUACAGGCCUGGGAAAAGCCAGGAUCUCCUUGGUGAUAGCAAAUGUGGCUGGAUGUGAAUUGAGGGGGCAGGGUAUUUGUUGCCCUGGACUUUGCCAAGACCUAGCUGGGUGCCAGAAGAGAAAAUUGGAUCUCCAGAAGGAGGUAGUGUGGUUGGAAAUAUGUGGGAGGGUGUUAACAUCUAGUUUAUUUCCUGCAAAUCGCCCAACUCUGUCUCAUAAGCUUUUCUUUUUCCAAGACAUCUCUGUGCUUUUCUUCUCAAAUUGUACAUUGUAGAACACUAAGGGAAAUUAAAAGGUGAUUAAAUUCUGCAAAUGAAGAUCAGCUUCAUGAUCUAAAU
rnacentral:lncRNA from 1 species